rnacentral:rRNA from 1 species
CCUACGGGGGGCAGCAGUGAGGAAUAUUGGUCAAUGGGCGGAAGCCUGAACCAGCCAAGUAGCGUGCAGGAUGACGGCCCUACGGGUUGUAAACUGCUUUUAUACGGGAAUAACGCGCCUUACGUGUCUGGCUUUGCCUGUACCGCAUGAAUAAGGACCGGCUAAUUCCGUGCCAGCAGCCGCGGUAAUACGGAAGGUCCGGGCGUUAUCCGGAUUUAUUGGGUUUAAAGGGAGCGUAGGCGGCGUGUCAAGCGUGCUGUGAAAUGUCCGGGCUCAACCCGGGCCUUGCAGCGCGAACUGGGGUGCUUGAGUCCGCGGAAAGCAGGCGGAAUUCGUCGUGUAGCGGUGAAAUGCUUAGAUAUGACGAAGAACCCCGAUUGCGAAGGCAGCUUGCUGCAGCGGAACUGACGCUGAUGCUCGAAAGCGCGGGUAUCGAACAGGAUUAGAUACCCCUGUAGUC